rnacentral:rRNA from 1 species
AUUGAACGCUGGCGGAAUGCUUUACACAUGCAAGUCGAGCGGCAGCGCGGGAGCAAUCCUGGCGGCGAGCGGCGAACGGGUGAGUAAUGCUUCGGAAUCUGCCCUUCAGUGGGGAAUAACCAGUCGAAAGACUGGCUAAUACCGCAUACGAACUGAGGUUGAAAGCAGGGGAUCGCAAGACCUUGCGCUGAUGGAUGAGCCGAAGUCGGAUUAGCUAGUUGGUGGGGUAAAGGCCCACCAAGGCGACGAUCCGUAGCGGGUCUGAGAGGACGGCCCGCCACACUGGGACUGAGACACGGCCCAGACUCCUACGGGAGGCAGCAGUGGGGAAUUUUGGACAAUGGGGGCGAACCCUGAUCCAGCCAUUCCGCGUGAGUGAAGAAGGCCUC